rnacentral:rRNA from 1 species
GACAGAGGUGCCAAGCGUUAGGCGGAAUCACUGGCUUAAAGCGUGUGUAGGCGGGCGAUCAAGUACCUUGUGAAAUCUCCCGGCUCAACCGGGAGGUGCGCCGAAUACUGAGUGACUAGAGUGCGGGAGAGGAAAGUGGAAUUCCUGGUGUAGCGGUGAAAUGCGUAGAUAUCAGGAGGAACACCGGUGGUGUAGACGGCUUCUGGACCGUAACUGACGCUGAGACACGAAAGCGUGGGUAGCAAACAGG